rnacentral:rRNA from 1 species
CAAUAUAAGUGAUGGCGACCGGCGCACGGGUGAGUAACACGUAUCCAACCUGCCGAUAACUCGGGGAUAGCCUUUCGAAAGAAAGAUUAAUACCCGAUGGUAUAAUAAAACCGCAUGGUUUAAUUAUUAAAGAAUUUCGGUUAUCGAUGGGGAUGCGUUCCAUUAGGCAGUUGGUGAGGUAACGGCUCACCAAACCUUCGAUGGAUAGGGGUUCUGAGAGAAAGGUCCCCCACAUUGGAACUGAGACACGGUCCAA